rnacentral:lncRNA from 1 species
CGAUAGAGGGCGCUGUAAAAAAAAAGUCACGCGCGCCAUUUUGAAAGGACAAAAAUUGACGUUUCGGAAUCUGGUCUUUCGUGGAUUUUCCAGGAAUGCAGGAAAACGUUGACGAGAAGAGGUGCCUACAUGGAUGCCUGUAGAAGGGUGCUCUGUCCAUCUUGGAACAAGAGUUCUUGGACUUGUCAAGAUGGAAGAUUUUACAUUCUAGUACAUCUGCUGAUGAGAGACACUGCCAUGCAAGAUGCCUGCAGAAGGGAUGCCAUCAUUGUCACGUCCACUUCGAACAAGAGUUCUUGGAUUUGUCAAACAGGUUGGUGGUAGACACCUGCAGAAGGGCUACUCUCUAUUUUGGACAAGAGUUCUUAGACUUUGAAAAGAAUUCCAAGAGUGCCUAGCACAGCCAAAGCAGUCUACCCUCAUUGUGCUACCAUCAACGGAGGUCUGGGAACCAGAAGACGUCAGCGUGC